AGUGAACGCUGGCGGUAGGCCUAACACAUGCAAGUCGAACGGCAGCACAGGAGAGCUUGCUCUCUGGGUGGCGAGUGGCGGACGGGUGAGGAAUACAUCGGAAUCUACUUUUUCGUGGGGGAUAACGUAGGGAAACUUACGCUAAUACCGCAUACGACCUACGGGUGAAAGCAGGGGACCUUCGGGCCUUGCGCGAUUGAAUGAGCCGAUGUCGGAGUAGCUAGUUGGCGGGGUAAAGGCCCACCAAGGCGACGAUCCGUAGCUGGUCUGAGAGGAUGAUCAGCCACACUGGAACUGAGACACGGUCCAGACUCCUACGGGAGGCAGCAGUGGGGAAUAUUGGACAAUGGGCGCAAGCCUGAUCCAGCCAUACCGCGUGGGUGAAGAAGGCCUUCGGGUUGUAGAGCCCUUUUGUUGGGAAAGAAAUCCAGCUGGCUAAUACCCGGUUGGGAUGACGGUACCCAAAGAAUAAGCACCGGCUAACUUCGUGCCAGCCGCCGCCGUAA
rnacentral:rRNA from 1 species